rnacentral:rRNA from 1 species
GAUGAACGCUGGCGGCGUGCCUAAUACAUGCAAGUCGAGCGAACGGACGAGAAGCUUGCUUCUCUGAUGUUAGCGGCGGACGGGUGAGUAACACGUGGAUAACCUACCUAUAAGACUGGGAUAACUUCGGGAAACCGGAGCUAAUACCGGAUAAUAUUUUGAACCGCAUGGUUCAAAAGUGAAAGACGGUCUUGCUGUCACUUAUAGAUGGAUCCGCGCUGCAUUAGCUAGUUGGUAAGGUAACGGCUUACCAAGGCAACGAUGCAUAGCCGACCUGAGAGGGUGAUCGGCCACACUGGAACUGAGACACGGUCCAGACUCCUACGGGAGGCAGCAGUAGGGAAUCUUCCGCAAUGGGCGAAAGCCUGACGGAGCAACGCCGCGUGAGUGAUGAAGGUCUUCGGAUCGUAAAACUCUGUUAUUAGGGAAGAACAUAUGUGUAAGUAACUGUGCACACCUUGACGGUACCUAAUCAGAAAGCCACGGCUAACUACGUGCCAGCAGCCGCGGUAAUACGUAGGUGGCAAGCGUUAUCCGGAAUUAUUGGGCGUAAAGCGCGCGUAGGCGGUUUUUUAAGUCUGAUGUGAAAGCCCACGGCUCAACCGUGGAGGGUCAUUGGAAACUGGAAAACUUGAGUGCAGAAGAGGAAAGUGGAAUUCCAUGUGUAGCGGUGAAAUGCGCAGAGAUAUGGAGGAACACCAGUGGCGAAGGCGACUUUCUGGUCUGUAACUGACGCUGAUGUGCGAAAGCGUGGGGAUCAAACAGGAUUAGAUACCCUGGUAGUCCACGCCGUAAACGAUGAGUGCUAAGUGUUAGGGGGUUUCCGCCCCUUAGUGCUGCAGCUAACGCAUUAAGCACUCCGCCUGGGGAGUACGACCGCAAGGUUGAAACUCAAAGGAAUUGACGGGGACCCGCACAAGCGGUGGAGCAUGUGGUUUAAUUCGAAGCAACGCGAAGAACCUUACCAAAUCUUGACAUCCUUUGACAACUCUAGAGAUAGAGCCUUCCCCUUCGGGGGACAAAGUGACAGGUGGUGCAUGGUUGUCGUCAGCUCGUGUCGUGAGAUGUUGGGUUAAGUCCCGCAACGAGCGCAACCCUUAAGCUUAGUUGCCAUCAUUAAGUUGGGCACUCUAAGUUGACUGCCGGUGACAAACCGGAGGAAGGUGGGGAUGACGUCAAAUCAUCAUGCCCCUUAUGAUUUGGGCUACACACGUGCUACAAUGGACAAUACAAAGGGCAGCGAAACCGCGAGGUCAAGCAAAUCCCAUAAAGUUGUUCUCAGUUCGGAUUGUAGUCUGCAACUCGACUACAUGAAGCUGGAAUCGCUAGUAAUCGUAGAUCAGCAUGCUACGGUGAAUACGUUCCCGGGUCU